rnacentral:rRNA from 1 species
CACGUAGGGGGCAAGCGUUGUCCGGAUUUAUUGGGCGUAAAGAGCUCGUAGGUGGCUUAGUAAGUCGGGUGUGAAACCUCCAGGCUCAACCUGGAGACGCCACCCGAUACUGCUAUAGCUUGAGUCCGGUAGGGGAGCGUGGAAUUCCUGGUGUAGCGGUGAAAUGCGCAGAUAUCAGGAGGAACACCAAUGGCGAAGGCAGCUCGCUGGGACGUGACUGACGCUGAGACGCGAAAGCGUGGGGAGCGAACAGG